CGGUGUGCGCUUGGUGUGGGAGGAAUCGACCCCUUCUGUGCCGGAGCUAACGCGUUAAGCGCACCGCCUGGGAAGUACGGCCGCAAGGUUAAAACUCAAAGAAAUUGACGGGGACCCGCACAAGCGGUGGAGUAUGUGGCUUAAUUCGAUGCAACGCGAAGAACCUUACCUAGGCUUGACAUGCCGUCAUAGACUGUGAAAGCAGUUGUCAGUUCGGCUGGACGUGCACAGGUGCUGCAUGGCUGUCGUCAGCUCGUGUCGUGAGAUGUUCGGUUAAGUCCGGCAACGAGCGCAACCCCUGUGAAUAGUUGCUAACAUUUAGUUGAGGACUCUAUUCAGACUGCCCGUUUCAAACGGGAGGAAGGUGGGGACGACGUCAAGUCAGUAUGGCCCUUACGCCUAGGGCUGCACACGUACUACAAUGCCCAGUACAAUGAGAACCGAGACCGUGAGGUGGAGGAAAUCUAUAAAACUGGGCUCAGUUCGGAUUGGAGGCUGCAACUCGCCUCCAUGAAGUUGGAAUCGCUAGUAAUGGCACAUCAGCUACGGUGCCGUGAAUACGUUCCCGGGUCUUGUACACACCGCCCGUCACAUCAUGGGAGCCGAUCGCACCCGAAGUAUAUUAAAUAAUAAUGUCCUAAGGUGUAGUUGGUAACUGGGAUGAAGUCGUAACAAGGUAACC
rnacentral:rRNA from 1 species